rnacentral:pre_miRNA from 1 species
AGCUAGCUGCUCCGCCCUGAAUUACUUGUCUUUGAUUAGUCUAGAUAGAUGUAUCUAGACAUGUUUUAGUAUUAGAUACAUCUGUAUUUAGAAAAUCUAAGACAAGUAAUUUGAGACGGAGGUGGUUCAUC